GUGCUCGCUUUGGCAGCACAUAAACUAAAAAUUGGAAUGAUAUGGAGAAGAGUCAGCAUUGCCCCUGUGCAAGGAUGACAUGCAAAUUUGUGAAAGAAUUUGGAGAAAAAAUAUUU
ensembl:snRNA U6 U6 spliceosomal RNA